UUUUAGACGAGAUGGUCAAGAAGGACCUCGGGCAGGAGGUGACUUAGAUCAGGGUUGAAUGACAAGGAGAGGCCAUGUGAAGAACUGAGGGCACAGAGUUCCCAGGCAAAAGGAAGACCCAAAUGGCAUGAAUUUGCUGAGUUCUAAGAAAAGAAAGUUAAUGAAAUUUGAACUUCAUAAGGUGAAUGAGUUCUAGGAAGGAUUUAAAAGGGGCCUUGCCAUAUAGGGCCAUAGUGAGGAGUAUGGUCUUUCUUGGAAGGAAGCCACUGGGCUUUUGAGUUGGGGUGAGAUGCACUCUGUGUAAACAGUGGAUCUUUGAGGGGCAAGAGUGAAGCAGAGAGGCCCCUUAAGAGGACAUAGAGUUGGAGUUUGAGACAGAAAAAAAUGAAUGGGAGGAUCCAGCUUUCUGGCUUGAGCGAGUGAAGGAAGAUGAUGCUGUUUCAGAGAUAAGGAACACUGGAAAGCUGCAGAUCUUACAGACUCUUUCAGCACCUACGAAAAAUUUAGAACAGCAGGUGAAUCACAGCCAGCAGGGACAUACAAAUGCC
rnacentral:lncRNA from 10 species